AUUGAACGCUGGAGGCGUGCUUAACACAUGCAAGUCGUGCGAGAAAGGGACUUCGGUCCUGAGUAGAGCGGCGCACGGGUGAGUAACGCGUGGGUAAUCUCCCUUGGUGAUCGGGAUAACAGCGGGAAACUGCUGCUAAUACCGGAUAAUCUUCAUGUUUAACUUCAUGGGGUAAAGGUGGCCUCUGCUUGCAAGCUACCACACCGAGAUGAGCCCGCGUCUCAUUAGCUAGUUGGUAGGGUAAUGGCCUACCAAGGCUACGAUGAGUAGCUGGUCUGAGAGGAUGACCAGCCACACUGGGACUGGAACACGGCCCAGACUCCUACGGGAGGCAGCAGUGGGGAAUAUUGCGCAAUGGGCGAAAGCCUGACGCAGCGACGCCUCGUGAAGGGAUGAAGGUCUUCGGAUCGUAAACCUCUGUCAAGAGGGAAGAAACCCUUGGAUUCGAAUAGGGUCCUUGGCUGACGGUACCUCAAAAGGAAGCACCGGCUAACUCCGUGCCAGCCGCUGC
rnacentral:rRNA from 1 species